UUUGGAAGGUUUUAUUGGGAAGUCCUUGGUGUUGAGGGAAAUAAGGGCGCCAGUGAGGAAGGACGGCCCGGGAAGGGCUGAGCGGCCGCAGCGGCGCUCCCUCCUCGCCCCACAGUAGCAGCACGGAGGGAGGUUGGGAUGGCGGAUUUUGUUUAUUUUCCUUCGUAUUUCCACAGUGUCUGUGGGGAUGGUGUCCCGCCGCCAGCCAGGUUUGCCAAGAGCCACGGGGAUUGAGGACGCGACAGACCGGCUUUCCUUUGGAAUGCCCACAUCCUUGGCGCAUUCCUUUCGGGGAACACGGAGUGAAAACCCAACGCCUCUGUGCUUGAACCUGCCCAGCCCACCACGCUCCAGCUUCCGAGUGUUUUCGGGGCACGGCCGGCUAAUUCCCACCAGGAAUGGCAGGGCAGGGCCGCUCCCGGCAGCCCUGCGCCAUCGCACCCCUCCGGCAGCACCGGGCAAAGCACACGGACAGCGGCCGCGCUGCCUCACGGCUCACUUCCAGGGCAAAUAACGGGAAAAGCGGGCACACAGGGACAAAACCACAGCCGUGCAACUCGGUAGGAGCGGCGAGGAAGCCGACGUGCUCCCGCUGCCAGCUGGAAACAGCAGCCCCUGUUACAGCCCUGCCUUUUUUAUUUGAUCCCUUCACAACUCCCAUCCCCUGGAAGCUGGCAGAGUGGCAGGAGGCUCGGAGGACACUUUGCCUGGCGAAAAAUACCACAGAAGGAAUUCCUAUACAGGAGUAAAUUUAAUAAAACCACCACCAAUUGUUUACUUUAACAUAGCUCUUAUUACAGAAAUCAUAAAAAUGGACUCAGUAGCUAAACUCAUUAGUUCUUUCCCCUUUUAAUUGAAAAAUACUCCGCUGAUUUCAGCUUCUACUGCACUAGAUGGAGUGUUAAAUAGUUGCCAGGACAGGACACCCAGUGAUUGAGCCCAAAACAAACACAAAGACAAUUCCAUCAGCUUUCCUUUUCAAUGUUACGACUCGUCAUAAUGAAGUGAAAAUUAAAACAGCAAGAAAGGGUCCAUUUGACAGAUGAAAAGGGGAGGGAGAGGAGAUCCACAGCCGAAAUCUCGCAGGAAGUCUUUGGAGAAGUGGUGCAAAAUGCCCCUCCUUGUCCUGCCUUGGGAUCCAAAACAAAUCUCUAAACACACACACACAUACAGGCACACACACACACACGCCUCCUCUGGGAUCACAGCACGUGUCCUGCGUGCACGAGUGGGAACAGAGAGCUGGAUUUGGGCAGGUAAAGAUCUGGGGCCAAAAAUCAACCAAGAAAAAGGCAAGGCAUCCUGAACCAGAGCUCCAGGAGCUGCGAGGGGCCGCGUCCGUCGCCAGCAAUGGAUACACACACAGACCUGGGGGAGGCCCUGGACAGAAAGGAGCUGCAGGAAGAGGAAAAACCCAACUGCUCUGGAAAAAGUGUUCCAAAAAAAGGAAAAAAAAAAUAAAAUAUAUAGAUAUAGAUAUAUUCACUACACCAGCACACACUUCCCCCACCCCAGCCCAGGGAAAAAAAAAACCAAAACCAAACAAAAGAAUCAAACUGAAAGAAAAUGCACAGCAAAUAGACAUAAUCUUGAAGAUUUUUAAAGAAUAAAUAUUUUUUUGUAAUUAAACAUUAUGCAAACACGUGCCACGCUUGCUCUUUGUCCAUGCAUAUGCGCUAUAUACAACUUUGAAAAAUACUGUGUUGUCCUCUUUUUGUUUUAAAAGUCAUAUACAAAGGUUGGGUUUUUUUUUUUUCCUUGCUGUGUACCCCCCUCCUUCCCUCCCCAGAAAUCCUCUUUACAAUGAGCCAAUCCACAUUCAUCCGUGUACUUGUGUGGCAGAGAGGAGGAGGGGGGCGGGAGAGCCACCCCCCUUACCAAAGUCCAUCAAAAUGGCUGGUUUGGACAUGAAAAGCAGUGUCAAGAAACUGGUUUAAGUUUCAUCUGUACUACACACAGGAAAAGAAAGAGAAAAGAAAAGGAGUCGGCUUGGAGGAUGAAGCUACGUUACAAGUUAAAGUUGGAGGGUUUUUUAGUGCGUCUGUCACACUCUUGGCCGCCUAGAAUACUGUUGUACAAUGGUUUAUCUACCUUUUUUUUUUUAUUACAAUAUAAUUUACUUAAUUUUUCUGUUAACAAAACAGAAUCCCGGUACUACAGACCAGCGGUGUAAGAGGCGGAGCAGCGCCCUGGGUGGGUUUUAUUGGAAUUGCAU